rnacentral:rRNA from 1 species
AUGGCUGACAGCAGCAGCAGCCCGUCGGUCUCGUUGUCCGACGAGAGCUCCGAGGCGGAGGCGCAGUGCUGCUCGUCGUCGUCCACGGCGCCGAGCCUGCACGACACGGUGGACUUCAGCCGCACCGCCUCGGACGUGUCCACCUUCUCGGAGCGCAGCGUUGACCACAGCGGGCCCUUCGGGACGGCCGCCGUGUCCAAGCUCAUCGGCGGCCGCGGCUCCCCCGCCGCCGCGCUCAGCCGGCUCAGCAUGAAGCCCCGCGCCGACGUGCUCGACCGCCGCUCCGCCGAGGACGAGCUGGACCUGGUCAAGGAGCGGUUCUCCAAGCUGCUGCUGGGCGAGGACAUGUCCGGCGGCGGCAAGGGCGUGUGCACCGCCGUCGCCAUCUCCAACGCCAUCACCAACCUCUACGCCACGGUGUUCGGGAACUGCCACAAGCUGGAGCCGCUGCCGGCGGGGAAGAAGGCCAUGUGGAGGAGGGAGAUGGACUGCCUCCUCGCCGUCUGCGACUACAUCGUCGAGUUCUACCCCUCCACGCAGCCGCUCUCCGACGGCACCCGCGUCGAGGUCAUGGCCACCAGGCCAAGAUCCGACAUCUACAUCAACCUCCCCGCCCUCGAGAAGCUCGACGCCAUGCUCAUCGAGAUCAUGGACAGCUUCCAGAAGGCAGAGUUCUGGUACGCAGACGCCGGGACGAGGUCGUUCGGGUCGGUGACCUCGUCGUCCUCGCCGUCGUCGUCGUUCCGGCGGUCUACGACGACGACCCAGCGGAACGAGGACAAGUGGUGGGUGCCGGUGCCGUGCGUCCCGGAAGGCGGGCUGUCCGUGAAGGCGCGCAAGGAGCUCCGGCAGAGGCGCGACUGCGCGAACCAGAUCCACAAGGCGGCCGUGGCCAUCAACAGCGGCGUGCUGAGCGACAUGGAGGUGCCGGAGUCGUUCAUGGCGCUGCUCCCGAAGAGCGGCAAGGCGAGCGUGGGGGACGCGGUGUACCGCGCCAUGCACAGCUCCGACAAGUUCUCGCCGGACUACCUGCUGGACUGCGUGGACGUGUCGUCGGAGCACGAGGCGCUGGCGCUGGCCGACCGGGUGGAGGCGGCCAUGUACGUGUGGCGGCGCAAGGCGACCGCGAGCCACGGCGUGGGCAGGUCGGCGCAGUGGAGCCGGGUGAAGGAGCUCGCCGCGGCCGCCGACGACGGCGGCGAGGGCGGCAAGAACGUGGCGCUGGCCGGCAGGGCCGAGAGCCUCCUCCUCUGCAUCAAGCACCGCUUCCCCGGCCUCUCCCAGACCACCCUCGACACCAGCAAGAUCCAGUUCAACAAGGAUGUUGGGCAGGCGAUCCUGGAGAGCUACUCGAGGGUGCUGGAGAGCCUGGCGUUCAACAUCGUCUCGUGGACGGACGAAGUUCUUUUUGCCGACAAGGCUGCCAGGAAAUGA